CCAAACUGCAAAGAAGACUCUGCAACCAGCCCAGCUGCCUGGUGGAAGCAGAAAUGAGCCAAGCUGCCCAGAAGAGGUUUAGACAAUUGAGGCACCUGGAAAGGCCACUCCCCAGGCUGUUCGGCUCUCUGCGGGCUGUGCAGUGAGCUCCAGGUUCCCAGCUUUUGUGAGCUGUCACCCAUGCUGGGGUAGACCUUGGAGAUGCAGCUGUCUCUGGGUUGUUCCUGUUCCUUGACCAUAGUGUAUGCAAUUAGUGAGCAAGAUGCAGUCAGAGGGGGAAUUCUUUUCUGCCAACUUCUCAGCUUUGCGGACUCUGAAAAAGCUAGUUAACGUUGGAGAAUCUUGGUUUUCACAUCUGAAAAAAUGAGGAAUAUAAGAGAGAGGAUUGAGAGAGGUGAGUCAGCAGUAAGUGACCAAACAUUGCCAACUGUCAACAUUAUCACUUACUACGCACCUGAGACUGCCCCUGUUUUAUUAGAUGUUUUCAAACAAUGUGCCAAACAAGACACAUAUUCAGACCAUGCCAGGAUGUGUGGUUGUAGCAUUAUUUCUUAUCUACUCUGUAUAUCAUCCUGAACUAUCAGUUACUUUUCUAAUGACUGUGACCAAAUACCUGACAAGCCGCAACUUAAGAAAAGGAGGGUUUAUUUUGGCUCACAGUUUGCAGGGGGUUCAUUUCCCCUCGGGAAAAUGGAAACGUUAUUCUGAGGACUUGCAGGUGUUUGAUAUCAAGUUUUGUUGUUUUGGCAGUGGGUCAAAUAUCAAGACUCCUUCUUGCAGUUGAGGUGGCUGACUGUUACCAGGACCAAAACAAACACGCUUUGGGAGGGGCUUACUUAAUCAGUAAGUUCAAGGUGGAAAUGACCUUACCAUCUGCUUGAUGCAAAAGUUUAUUGUUGUGAUCAGCAUGGUGUUCACCUCACUUUGCACCGUGCCCUGUCCCUUGGCAUGACCUCCUACAUCAUGUGCCACAUGCUCACAGGAUGGCUUUAGUAGCUCUAGAAGGACAUAAUUACUGACGCUCUCUUUUCAGAACUCCUAGCCAACGUCUCAUUGCUUUGAUGAGGUCAUCGUUCCGUCUCUAAGCCAAACCAGGGUGAUGCUGGAUAUAACUAUGACUUAAGCUUAGCAACAUGUUUUGCUUUGCUUCAAAAGCCAGUGGUUUAGCAGUUACCAAAGCAGAUAUCCACGAUAAAUAUCAACAUUGGCCUCAUUCUACAUAGUGAGCAUUAGGUGUCGGGUAGCUCGCUGUGUCCCCACACUGUUUCAUUCAUUCGGAAGACACACUGAGGACCUGACACAGUAAAUCAAAGCAAACAUAGCCUCUGCUCGUAGAGAGGGGUAAUAUACCAUGAGUUAGGUAUUACUAUCUGCAUUUUAGGAUAACUGAUACUUCCAAAUGUCACUUCAGUUAUCCACCAUGUUUUUGUCGCUGAAUGAUAAACAGAAAUUCAAAUACAAGGCAGGUUGAAUGUGGGGAAUUCGGAGAAUAAGCUACCCAAGACUAAUCUGUUUCUCUGUGACCACAGGGUCCCAUCGUGAUGACAUCACAUGAUAAAGAAGAGAGACAGAGUGCGGAAGUUGUGGGGCACCAUUCCAUGUCAAUGGGUCGCUAUUAAUUCUGUUGGGUUCUUCGUGAGAAAUGACCACAAACCGACCAGCUGUUUGGUGGGGGUGUAUUUUUACUUAAUCUUAUUUCUUCUCAAUACUUUAUAGCUCCCAAUUUGGUCUCAGAUAUUUGGGCCUUGGAGAGUAACUUUUUGGAGUGACUUUAUGGAGGCCAGUGACAACUCCAUUGACGCCUUUGGCCAACCUCAGGAAACAGCAGCUAAGAGAGGAUGAAGAAUGCCCCAAAUCACGCCUGGAAGGAGAGCUAAAACCUGGCUUUGAAGCACUUGGUUUAGAUCUGCUACUUGCGUCUCCCGCUCCUGUCAUGUUUUGUGAUUUCUUUUGGCAUUUAUUUACCAAUUUUCUUUAGUCUAUGCUCAUUUUUAGCAGCAACAUUUGUCACAUGUGUAAUUGAGAAUGCAUGUUUUUCCCAAAGUACAUUCAAAUAAAUAUAAAACUAGGUCCAGGGAUGUAACUCAGUUGAUAAAAGGCUUGCUUAUCUCACAUACACAGAGGCCUGAAUUUGAUCCCCAAGAGCUGCAGAAAAAACACAUGCUUAUCAUCCAGUACUCAUGAGGAGAGAGAUGGAAGACUAGAAGUUAAAGGCCAUUUUUGCUACAUUGUAAGUUUGAGGUCAGUCUAGGAUGUAUGAUAUCCUAUGUUGGUAUGUACAAUCAUGCAUACAUUCAUACAUACAUAUACUUAAAAUUUGAAACUCCACUUGUCAGCCCUUUGUAAAUAUCAAACACCAAGCCUCUGAGAAGUCUGGUCUAUGCCUGGGACAUGUUUUAUCAGCUAGUUGGCCACAAGAACCAAGGCAAACAGAUAAUGUUCUUGAAAAACAUUUUUGUUGUUCAGAAGAAGGGGAAGGGUCCACGGAAUGGGGAUGUAGUCAUUUUCAGUUCCCCAGGUGUGGCCCCGAUGUCAGAGUCUCACCCUGCCCCGAACUCACUUCCUGCCAAGGCUUGGGAGGGAGAUAGUCCUGCCAUUUGAAGGCUAAUUGAACUUUUCAAGCCUUGCUAAGGCUUUUUCGUUGUUUUGCAACUUGGGUGAGCUUUUGUGUUGUGCCUCUGUGGUGGCUGUCAACAAGCCUACUGUUCAAAUUGAGCAAUGCCUAUUUUGGGAGAGCAACGUGAACCGUUUUAAUGAAACCAUCGCCACCUUCAUUUUACUCUGGUAUAAUUAUGCUUGCUUCUCCAGCUGACGGGUCCAAUUGCUACCCAGCUCUGGUACUAAAGGAUGAAAUUCCCAUUCCCAAGUGCAUUUCUGUGUCUACUUAGUUGGGAGAAGGAUUAGGGAGACUGCCUAAUUUUUUGCUUUGGAACAGGAGAGGAAAGAGACACAGGGGUCUUUCCUCUUUCCCUAUGCAGAACACUCUGCCUCUCAGAGGUGGCUCAUUUGUUUCCCCACUUAAUGACAAGGUUUAAAAAGUCUUUGUUCCCUCUCAUCUCUAUUCUCAGUUGCCAAGAUUCUCAGGGAGUUUGGGGACACUGGCUGCUGGCAGGCUUUCUUGGGAGAAAUGGUGUUCACUUACGGGUUUGUUUUUUAACUAUUUUUCAUGAAUGAAUCCACCAACUUUGCAAAAUUACAUGGUAUCUGACCCUCAACUCUGCAUGAGACAGGUAAGCCAGGUAUUCAUUGCCAUCGAUCAUUCAAGUUGGAGUUUAACAGCACUAAUUAGUGUUCAAAUCUGUUGCACACUUCAAGGACCCAAGGUGUGUUGGAAAUGAACUAAUGCUCAGGUCAGGACUUCUGCUUCUGGAUCCCCUAUGAUGUCCUGGUGAAAGUCACUGAGAUGGAUGUAAGGUUUGAUCUCCACCUUACUUGCUAGCCCUGACGGACAACUACAUCUUUACAGACCUGUCAUCAGCCUGGUCUCUUUUGAUUAAACCAGGAUAGUAAUGGUCUCUAUGUGUAUGAUGAUUUUCAGAUCCCAUGCUCUAAUGUUUGGAGGUGUAGUCACCUCCUCCGCAGAGGUGAGCUCACAUCUUCUUAAGUUGGGGUCAUGAUGACCGUCAUAACUGAAUGUGGGGGUCCUGUAAAUGUCGGCAAUACUAAAUGGUUUUAGAAUGUACACUCACCAAAUUAAUUCACACUUAGAUGUGCAAUACAUCUAAGGUGUUUCUGGCAAUAUAUGGCUGUGAGGGAUCUUGGAGCUUCCCUGCAGACUUUGUUCUGAACAUGCAGUGUGUGCCCUUUGCACUGUACGCACACUCAUGCCAUGCACACCAGUCCACAUUGCCUGAAACCUCAGCUCAGAAUAGAGACUGUAGGCUGUUGUGAACUGUAGCGUUUCUUCUACAAAGUUUUUGGCUCAUCUAGAAGCCUGAUUGUUUAAUUAAAGAAAACAAGGACUUUUAAUACUUUUCAGGAGCUAUUCCACAGUGUACAGAGAUCAAAUUAUGACGUCUUUUGAUUAUAUUAUGUUAGGAUAUUUGGGUUUUUUAUUUUUAAUUGCUGUUUGUUGACUCACAAGUUAAGAGCAUUUCUUGCUCUUGUAGAAGAACAGGAACAACUUCCAGUACCCACAUAGUGGCUUACAGCCAUCCAUCACCCCGGUUCCAGGGAAUCCCACUCGCAUUCCUAACCUUGUGGUGGGUGGAAGCAGGAUUGCAUGGGGCACAUAUAUGUAUAUACAAGUAAGACACUCAUACAUAAAAGAUAAAAUGACUAAAUCUAAAAGACAUUCAAAAAUUGCUCUUUGAGUUGCAGACUUGAGUUUCAUCACAAACCAUUUAAUGCAUUUUGGCUUGUAAUCAGGACCUAAUUCCCCACAAUUUCUUUAAUGGCCCUAAACAUACUUCUGUCAUCUUGUAUUAUGUAUUUAUGCCAAGGAGUAUUCUUAGCAUUGAUGAUUA